UUGAGAACAUCUUCCAUCCGGACAGGAGGAACUGAUCAGCCUGGAAAGGAACACUGAGAACAUCUUCCAUCCAGAACAACUAGAAAGUGUGCAGGGCGUCACUGACACCACGAGACUUAAAGAUGAUUCUCAACCAUAACUGGACCCAGAAGGAGACAAAGCGGACUGAGAAAGGAGUCUCAAGGUUCAGGGAAGGGAAAAGGAAGAUUAUCACGGAAAGCUACCCCUUUAGAGGAAGGACAGCCAUUAUGAUUAAGGACAGGCUCUUAAGCCAAAUAAAAAGCCUCUUCAUCAGGUGAAAGUGGAAAGAAAAAAAUACUAAUUACACUGGAGGAUGUACUAAACAGGAAGCACAACUGAGAGGCCACUGAAGAGACAUAAAGUGUAGCAACCAGCAUCAUGCUCUUUGUGAUGUUAUAUUGACAACCCUAUGGGAGAAACACUGCAUGUAGAACAGACUAUGUCUACAUUUUUGUGCGGCAUGACGUCAGGUAAACGUUGGAACAGU